rnacentral:piRNA from 1 species
UGUAAUCCCAACACUUUGGGAGGCUGAGGUGU